GGGCCUGAUGGUAUUUUCUUGUC
rnacentral:siRNA from 1 species